rnacentral:rRNA from 1 species
UACGUAGGUGGCAAGCGUUGUCCGGAAUUACUGGGCGUAAAGCGUGCGCAGGCGGUUUUGUAAGUUUGUCGUGAAAUCCCCGGGCUCAACCUGGGAAUUGCGAUGAAGACUGCAAGGCUAGAAUCUGGCAGAGGGGGGUAGAAUUCCACGUGUAGCAGUGAAAUGCGUAGAGAUGUGGAGGAACACCGAUGGCGAAGGCAGCCCCCUGGGUCAAGAUUGACGCUCAUGCACGAAAGCGUGGGGAGCAAACAGG